rnacentral:tRNA from 1 species
GACCCCAUCGUCUAGUGGACAAGGACACUUGGUUUUCAUCCAAGUAACGGAAGUUCGAAUCUUUCUGGGGUUGCCA